CAAAGCCUCUGCCUCAGUCUCCUCUUCUGGAAAGUGGGAUUGGAAACCACAUCUGCUUCUCUCCCAGGACUGCUAGGAAGACAAGAUUAGAUGGCAGGUCUGUUUUCCCCCUGGAUUGUAAACUCCCUGAUGUCUGGGUCAUCUCAGCUCAUGAGCUGAGCUUUCAGUGGGUGCUCAGUGGAACAGGUGCUGAAUGGAGUCAGGCUUUAGGGAGGCCAGCGUGUGUUGGAAGGAAAAUACCCGUACAGCCAACUUCCUUGAGGGUUCGUUCUUUUGCAUCAGGGUGUCUCAAACUCCUGCCCUUAAAACACCUGCAAGAGAAUCAUCUAGGUGGCUUGCUCGCUCUGCAUGCAGACCCUUUAGAAUCAGAGUCAGAAUACCUGGGGCUGGAGCCACAAAAUGAAAUGACAUUUCAACAAGUUUGUCAUCACGUAAGAGAGAAUAGAUAACUUCACUCUUCUCUGCAACGAAUCCCAAAAGUAUAUAAUUGAGCUGACUGCAAGGUACUUGACACGCAAGAGACUCCACAAAUGGGAUUCAGCCUCUGGAAAGUGGUGGUAGUUCCAGAUUUAUGUGGAUGUUACUUUGUUUUUCCCUAUAAAAUAUAUUAUUUAAACUAUCAAA
rnacentral:lncRNA from 1 species